GACGAACGCUGGCGGCGUGCUUAACACAUGCAAGUCGAACGGAAAGGCCCUGCUUUUGUGGGGUGCUCGAGUGGCGAACGGGUGAGUAACACGUGAGUAACCUGCCCUUGACUUUGGGAUAACUUCAGGAAACUGGGGCUAAUACCGGAUAGGAGCUCCUGCUGCAUGGUGGGGGUUGGAAAGUUUCGGCGGUUGGGGAUGGACUCGCGGCUUAUCAGCUUGUUGGUGGGGUAGUGGCUUACCAAGGCUUUGACGGGUGGCCGGCCUGAGAGGGUGACCGGCCACAUUGGGACUGAGAUACGGCCCAGAAUCCUACGGGAGGCAGCAGUGGGGAAUAUUGCACAAUGGGCGGAAGCCUGAUGCAGCAACGCCGCGUGCGGGAUGACGGCCUUCGGGUUGUAAACCGCUUUCGCCUGUGACGAAGCGUGAGUGACGGUAAUGGGUAAAGAAGCACCGGCUAACUACGUG
rnacentral:rRNA from 1 species